GGCCGCCGGUGAAAUACCACUAC
rnacentral:piRNA from 3 species